AUUGAACGCUGGCGGCAGGCCUAACACAUGCAAGUCGAGCGAGCGGCGGACGGGUGAGUAAUGUCUGGGAAACUGCCUGAUGGAGGGGGAUAACUACUGGAAACGGUAGCUAAUACCGCAUACCAUCAGAUGUGCCCAGAUGGGAUUAGCUAGUUGGUGGGGUAAUGGCUCACCUAGGCGACGAUCCCUAGCUGGUCUGAGAGGAUGACCAGCCACACUGGAACGGAGACACGGUCCAGACGCCUCCGGGAGGCAGCAGUGGGGAAUAUUGCACAAUGGGCGCAAGCCUGAUGCAGCCAUGCCGCGUGUAUGAAGAAGGCCUUCGGGUUGUAAAGUACUUUCAGCGGGGAGGCGUUACUCGCAGAAGAAGCACCGGCUAACUCCGUGCCAGCAGCCGCGGUAAUUC
rnacentral:rRNA from 1 species